ACAGCAGUAGCCGCGGUAAUACAGAGGGUGCGAGCGUUAAUCGGAUUUACUGGGCGUAAAGCGUGCGUAGGCGGCUUCUUAAGUCGGAUGUGAAAUCCCUGAGCUUAACUUAGGAAUUGCAUUCGAUACUGGGAAGCUAGAGUAUGGGAGAGGAUGGUAGAAUUCCAGGUGUAGCGGUGAAAUGCGUAGAGAUCUGGAGGAAUACCGAUGGCGAAGGCAGCCAUCUGGCCUAAUACUGACGCUGAGGUACGAAAGCAUGGGGAGCAAACAGGAUUAGAUACCCCUGUAGUUCCUGUCUCUUAUAC
rnacentral:rRNA from 1 species